rnacentral:lncRNA from 1 species
GGAAGUGUACUGAAAGGCUCUUAAGCCUAAUAUACUGGCAACUUAGCUGCAAACUACUGUUUUGUGCUGCAUUCGAUACUACUUGGAGUGUAGGGAUGGGUGGGUUGAUUUAAUCCCCACAUCGAGUGUAGGGUUGGAUGGAGAUGGUGUGUAAAGGCUGGUUGGGUAGGACUUGGUUACUGAAUACUGUAUAUCUAUUACUGAUACUGUGAUGGGCUAAGGCCCUUGUGCAUACUGAUAUUGAAAGGGGCUUAGGCCCAAG